rnacentral:rRNA from 1 species
UACAGAGGGGGCAAGCGUUGUUCGGAAUUACUGGGCGUAAAGGGCGCGUAGGCGGCCUCUUAAGUCGAACGUGAAAUCCCCGGGCUCAACUCGGGAACUGCGUCCGAUACUGGGGGGCUUGAAUCCGGGAGAGGGAUGUGGAAUUCCAGGUGUAGCGGUGAAAUGCGUAGAUAUCUGGAGAACACCGGUGGCGAAGGCGGCAUCCUGGACCG